UACGGAAGGUGCAAGCGUUAUCCGGAUUCACUGGGUUUAAAGGGUGCGUAGGCGGGCAGGUAAGUCAGUGGUGAAAUCUUUGGGCUUAACCCGAAAACUGCCAUUGAUACUAUCUGUCUUGAAUAUUGUGGAGGUGAGCGGAAUAUGUCAUGUAGCGGUGAAAUGCUUAGAUAUGACAUAGAACACCCAUUGCGAAGGCAGCUCACUACGCAUAUAUUGACGCUGAUGCACGAAAGCGUGGGGAUCAAACAGG
rnacentral:rRNA from 1 species